AACCUUUUUAUCUAAGUAGAGAUGGGGCGCAAUCGAAGUUGCCGUUGAAAACCUUACCGUUGUAGGAUCUACUGCCGUCUACUACUAUACGUAUACGAGAAUUUCAAUCAUUUCUAUUGGAAUAGCCGAGAAAGCAACAACUACUACUAUUGACUUAUCAAAACCUUUGUCCCGAGCCUUACCUCCAGUAGGAAAUUGAACCGUACUUCCGAACUUCGCUUCGUUGACUUCCGCAUUGCCGUGCUCUUCUCGGCCCUUGUCUGCUUUGCUUUGCCGAGGGCGAGGAUAGGAAAACCGUACCCACCUUUUCUUUUAACGGAAGCCGAUGCUUGUCUCCGCCUACAACUAGAUAAUUUCUCGGAUGACAAUACAAUACUACAAGCAGGAUGUGUGGGGAUACAAAUCCUUUAGAUUUCGCUAGUGCAACGCUCGUAUUGACCUUUAGCUCGUGGGAAUCAAUCGUAGGUUUUAUUUAAUAUCGUACGUAGGACUACGAAUCGUACGUAGUAUUUGCGUGGGCCUCGCUCGUAUGCAAGGAAUAGGUUUAGGAAUAGGGCUAGCGAAGGAAGGGACCAAGGAAGGAAUUCGUAGCCCAGAACCUUAAGCAGGAGCUCAUAACUACUACGAAUGGAAAGAUUCCAGCUAUUGAAGCUUAAAAGAACAGAAGAAAAAGAUAGAGAGGUUCAAGUUGAUGGAAUCCAAAUCUUAUGCUGAUUCCAGUGAUGUUGACAUAUUUUCACAUAUAUCAUAUUCCACUUGAUCGAUAUACCAAUUCCUGAAAAAGAAGAAGAUAGUGUUAACCAGUUGGAAUGUCAUGAAAGCACUUACUUCCGAGACAGCCUGUCCUCGGCUAUUUCAUUAUCAAAAGCAAGUAUUGGUUUUAGCCGAAACAUGUGCAUAUUCACUUUGAGCACAGCCACCCGAAGAGGAUUCGAAGAACAAUUGCUAUUUCAUUCCUUUGGCUAGGAAUCGUAGGUAUUGGCGUACGUAUAUUCGCUCGUGUCUCGUAGGAAAGUCUAUCGAUGAACGGAAGCACCCCCGCGUAAACCCCCUUGAGGUGAUGUCUGGUAGUUUAAUGUCAAGAGUAGUAUACCAACCUAUUUGAAAAACAAUACAAGCCUUUCGAGACAGUAACCAGGUCAACUCUGCUGCUGCAGUGCCAAGGAUUGCAAUUUAGCUCUUUGCUUUUCAGUUGAGGAGCGAAGCCCUGUAGUAAAUACCUCCGGAAAGUAAAAAUCUCAUAUCCUAAAUGCCUUCUUUCUUUUACAUAAAGGGAGAAGGAUCUGAUAAAAGGCGAAGAUAAAAGGCGGAUUCUAUUGAUUUUCCCAGCAUUUCCUCAACCAGUGGUGUUCCCAUGUGGUGGUAUACCAAUAUUGAAUUUGUUUCAUUCGCUAUCGCUAUCCCGGGCCGUGCCUUGUAGGAAAGGAUCGCUCGCUACAGGUAACCCGUUAAUUCGUAAAACGUAUGUUUCGUACGAUAUUAUGUUUCGUAUGUUUCGUAGGAAGCCGAAUCCCGGUAUUCGUAUAGGAAUAGGUGUCUUCGGCCGAUCAAUUGGAGCCGAAUCCCGUAGAGGAAUCCGUUUUCGUAGCAAGGAAGGAGCCCUAAGCUAGGUAGCUGUUCUUGGGAUUUCCGUUCUUGGGAUUACCGGUGCCCAGAAAAGAAUGGAUGAAGCAAUGCCGGUACUAAAUUGAUCAAACAUGAUGGUGAUCUGCUACCCACCUACUCUAAUAGAAGCACUACAGGGGUAUCAACUAUUGAAACAAAUGCUCAAACCAACUAUUCAAAUAGCAGGCUUUAUCUUUUAAAACAAGCAGGAUUCCAGGAAUUGGGAAGAAGAGAAGGUGCACAAGAAGAGAGGGAAUCUAGAUCAAAGAGAAAGUAGGGAAGUAUUGCUCGGCACGCUUUACCAAACAAGUAGUGGAGUCCGCCCCUAUUCAGAAAGCCGGGUAAGAAAGGUGGUGUAUCAAGGAGUUACGGUUGGAAAGCAAGAACUGAAAACAGUUCAAUCCAGUUCUUCUGAUGAUAGGAAUCUUCCCUUUAUUAGGUGGCUAUAGCAUAACGAAACAAGUAGGUUGAGUAGUUUUCAAGAAUAGGUUUGAAAGUAGUAUUUGGGAAUAGGUCAAGUUGGCUUGUUAGGAAUAGGUUAAGUAUAUCAGUUACGGUCAAAAAGUAUAGAUGCACCGAAGUUGUCUAGUUGUUGGAAAGGGAUAGCUGGAAUUCCCUGUAGUCAACAUUCAAAUAGUAUCCAAGGGAUAACCGAGAUAGAAAGAAGUAACCGCUAAACUAGUUUUUUGACAAGAGGUAUGCGUAUUGAAUAAGAAGUAUAGGCUUUUUCUUGCUAGUAGAAAGAUUUACACCGGUGGUAAGCGAAUAGGGGUGUAGACCUUUGUGAGUAUGUAUUUACGAGAGGACAGGUAAGUCACAAGGUAUUCCUUGAAAAGCAAAUAAUAGAAAUGAACGAGAGUGUGGAGAAGAUACUAGGUUAAGUGCAUGAAGGGGUAGCCGGGGCGGCCCGUAUAGCAUGGUCUAGGGUUGUGAGAGACAGAAAGAAGAGAUCGGUCAUCAAGAAAAGGCAUAGGACUAGAAAGAAGUCAUAGGCAACUCACAGAUACGCACGAAUAGCUAGUAAAGAACGCGGAGCUCCUAUUCUAUUCAGGCAACCUUGGUAGCUUUGCAAGCUCUUCGCAACAGGCUCCAGGGAUGCAAUAAUGGUGAUGGUGGCACUCCAUGGAUUCAUGAAGAGAAGCUGACAGACCCAGUAAUUGAUGCUUUCCAAGCUGAUGAAGAACGAGGCGUAGGAAUGCUAUGAAAAUUUCCAACCAACGGCUCCAACCGAACAUGAAAUUUUAUCCACGCACUCUUAUUCUUAUCCAGGUUUUAUUCUUAUGGUUGGAUUCUGACAAAAUGACUACUUACAACUCUCAGACCUAUUGUUGAAUGAAUGACAAACCAACGCUCAUAACAUUAUUAUGGUUUCUUCUACUCCAGUGCAAUUAUACCAUCUAUUAUUGGGGCUUCUUGUAGUUAUCGGACAUUUCCUUUUCGAUCCUUACUUACUACCAUGUCCUGCAGUUUGAACACGAAACCAUUCCUGACUUGAUCCAGGCGAUUUUGGGAAGGACUCCGCAUUCUCCCACAAAAGGCCAGGCCUUGAGUUUCUAGCCGACUCAUAUAAGUGAGGGUGUAAAUUGAGUUUAGGUGACGUAUCUUUCUCUCUGAUGUUCUCUGUGGUCUCAAAGGAUGAUCAGUCGGAUAGUGACAUUGGUAAAUAAAAAGAAGAAGUUUACACGCCGGGUGCAUACUUCAGUGCCACUAAUUAGCGACUUUUUAUUGGCCCUUUACCUACACCAUGUAGACCGUAGGAUUACACAGAAUCCCAUUGGCGAGGACAGCAGGUAUAGCUUUAAUAAAACCUAUGGCAACUCUCCUCAAGUAAACAUUGCCGAACCGGUUCCAAUGCCUUGUGAAGGAGGGUUUAUUGACUCGGGUGCUUCGUCUCACAUUACCCCCGAUCUCAAUGCCUUGUCUAGUCAUGCUCUGUAUCAGGGUUCUGAGGAGGUGAAAGUAGGUAAUGGUGCAGGUUUGUGUAUCUCCGGGUGCUACCCAAAAUUCUCGUGCUCUAAAUUUUUCAAAUGUGUUACAUGUCCCUUCUAUGACUAAGAAUCUUGAUAGUAUCUCUCGCUUGACCAAGGAUAAUAAUGUUAUUGCGGGUUUGAAUUCAUAUUCUUUAUUUAUUCAGGAUGCUACCACCAACGAGCUUGAGGGUAGCCCACAUAAUGGUCUUUAUCACUUACCUCCGCCUGUUUCCUUGCUUAGUGAAGCCACUUGUGGAUCUUUUUAGCUUGGACACACUUCGAAUUCUAUUUUACAUCAUGUUUUCCAAAAAGGACACAUUGUAGGGACUUGUAAGAAUUAAAUAAAUUGUGAUGCUUGCCUUCGAAUCUCAUAAGCUUUCUUUUGAUUUGUCUAUCUUUUGCUGGGUUUAUUUUUGCUGGGUUUAUCCUCAAUCACCAAUUUAUUCUAUUUUUUAGAAAUUUCAGAGUAUUUACUAAAAUCUUCUCUAUACAAAAAUAAAGCAUUUUCAAUGCGAUGGUGGUACCGAGUACAAGCCCAUUAUGCGUUGUUUUCCUGAGAUUGCCUUUUUUUUGUGUCUCGUGUCCAUACACUCCUGAACAAAACGGUCUAGCCGAGCGCAAGCAGCGGCAUAUUAUGGAGCUUACUCUUGCCACAAAGUCUCAUGCGUCCAUUCCACACGAGUAUUGGGAUGAUAUUGUUCAGAGCAUUGUCUUCCUCAUCAUUACCUAGGGCAUCUUCCAUUUCCUCUCCCUCCUUUUCCUCCACUCUCCCUGUAGUCAAGACGUAGGGAGUAUUAUGACCUGUUUCACUGACAUCAGCUUUCGUCUCUCGUCCUUCGCCCGCUAUGCUUCCUAGUAGGUAUGAUGCCCAGCAACAGGCGCACAAGCAGGACUAGCUUAUUGGUCCACUGGUUGUAGCAAGAGGAGCUGGAUCAACCAAUGACGCUUCGGGCUUCGAAAGAAAAGAAGGAAUUUUAGACCAAGCUUCCGAUAAACUAAGAUUUUCGGCUAGCCCAUCGCUAACUCUGCGAUAUAUUUAUUGCGGAAAGUAUCCCGGAUCCCACUGAUAACGAGUAAGACAAAAUAAAAUAAUUCGUUUGGUGUAGUUGAAAUAACGGAAUUGGAACUUGUUUGGUCAAGUAACGGAAACUCAAUCAAACUCAUAAUUGUGUCAAUGGAAUCUUUUCCUUCUUUUUUUUUGUUUGAAUAUUCACUUAAGACCAUUCCAAGGCUCCUUUUCGCCAUGCAUAAACUAAACCAACAACUAGGAUAAGCACAAAAAUGAAAGCUUCGAUAAAAACGGAUACACCCAAUACGUCGAAACUCAUUGCCCAAGGGUAGAGAAAGACCGUUUCCACAUCAAAAACAACAAAAACUAGUGCAAACAUGUAAUAGCGUAUUCGGAAUUGUAACCAAGCCCCCCCAUGGGUUCUAUACCCGAUUCAUAACUAGAAAGCUUUUCUGGUCCUUCACUAACCGGGGCUAAAAGUCCUGAAAUCCAAAAUACCAAAAUAGGAAUUCUAAAAAUAAAGUACUAAAGCUUCAAACUCCUUGCUAACAGCCCUACCGAUAAAAGGAAUAAUGCUUCAAGGACUAUAUGACUAGCUCUUAUACGAGUUCCUGGUAAACCACUACUUGCGUAAAGUACUCCGCUCGCUCCCCUGCUCGUUCAAAGUAUUCCACUCGCUAGGAUCUUAGUAAAUAAGCUUGCUCUGACCUUACCUUUCCUUCCUAGCUUUGAGAGCAAUACUACCUGUAAUAACACAAUGAACUUAUCCAACUUAGGGAACAGGCUGGCAUAAAGGCAUUCCACCAUAGGACCGAAAGAAGAUGAUGAAGAUUUUCAUUCAUAUCCCGGGAACAUUUCCACACCCAUCCUUUACGGCAUGCGAUCUAGGGUUUUAUAGCUAAAGGAUGAAGUGAAAAGAGCGAUUCCCCUAUCGACAAAAGUGAGAAAUUACAAUUUACCUACCGCUUGCCUUCUACAGGAUGGGUCCCCUCCCUCCGUAGGCUUACGGCAACAAGACCAAUCCGCUCGAUCCACUAAUAAAAUAAGUUGGAGACUACUAAUCUGCCAAAUCUGCUGUAGCUUUCCCAACGCCUGGGGGCUUAGUUACGUAUCAUAGGUAAAUCUCUCCAAAGUCGUUAGCCUAUCGUCAUACUAUGUUAUAGCCCGCCCUUGCCUAGUUGACAGCUUUUGCUUUUGAUAUCUGCUUUUAUGACUCUAUUGACCGUAGGCCAACGUUUGACUUCCUGGAAAAGAGUGAUAGCGCCCCGUCUCGGCCGAAAUCCAUGCGAAUGCACAGAAAAUAGAGGAUCAAAUAACAGGUUCAAUAAGUGGGCUAGUCCUAGCCCUCCAUUACGAUCCUAUCUCUCUCCGCAGGUUGAGUUAUAGGUCGAAACAUUCCCGGUUUGUUCGCUUUUGGUAUGAACGACCGAAACAUUGCCGAGAAGCGAAAGGUUGAUGUCAACAACUCACACUGAAUUUCCUCCAGUUCCUCCCUUUGUGGCAGAGCGAGCGCCUUGACUAAGAUAGAUUGACUCUUUCAUUCUUGCAGCCUAUUCUGGUUCCAAUCGCGUUUGAGGAAAACCCCCUUUGGCAUCAAUGAAACUCUGUGAUAUAGGAGUUCACUCAUUUCGUUUGAGAGAUAGUGGAAUUUCUUCUUUCAACACGUACAUCGACGAGGGUGUCGAUGACUUGAGUGAGGGUGAGGAAUGGUCAUGUGCUAGAGGCCGUACCGUUGGAGUAAGACCUCAACAAGGGGGUGUGCAGUUUAAAUGUAAAUGACGAGCAUGGAGAGGCCAAGGUCAUUUGUAAUUAGGUGUGGCUGAUGCAAGAAGACUGGCGAGCUGUCCAUGGUGAGACUCGUUGUGAUGCUACUGCAGGAGGCAUCCUGGUGUAGUUGAGGGCGCAGAACUUCUGUGCGGGUACAACUGGCACUUAAAAGACCUUCCGUGUAGAUGAGUUCUCUUGAGUGAGACUAAUCGAGUUACGAAGAAACCUUUGCGAUGGUGCUGUGCAGUUGGGUUCUCUAUGGAGGAACUUCGUUGUGGGGACCAAGGGGUCUUCUUAAGAAGAGUUGCUUUGAUGAAAAGAGUGUAGCCAUGAUGGCAAGUCAAGGUGGGGCCCUGUGAAGGCAAGCCUUGUGUAUGUUGGCGUGAUGACGAGAGAAAGGAAAUGACCUUGAACAAUAGCUGUCUGUAGCACACCCUGCAAUGACUUCGACCAGCGGACCAGCCUAUCCUACGCCAUGCUUGAUGGCUUGGCCUGUGGCUUUGUUGACCAGUGCAAAGGCCCGACAACCGUUCUGAGAGUCGCUGGAGAUGGCCAAUAAGCAGGAUUCCCUCCUUGCUUUACUUACUUUUUUUCCAGCGACUGCUACUGAUUCCUUUAUUUCCCACGUAACCUUUACUUCUAUCUGGAGAAGAUCCAUUACCUAGCUCUUAUUCCGGCAUGAUCAAAUCGAUACCAACAUUCAAGAGCGGAUAAGGCUAAAAAGAGAAAAAGCAGGGCUUAGGGGGAGGAAUCCAUUUCUUAUUUAUUUAUUAGCCUUAGCCUAGGCCCAACUAUGUACAGAAAUCUAUCUAUUAUUGCCUGCAUCGACAGCAAAGUAAACUCUCGCUGAUGAUAGAAGAACAACUCUUAGGGCAGUAGCAAGGAAACUAUGAGCUAUUUAUUGUUCCUUUCUUAGACAGGCUACAAGAUAAAGGAUGGCUUAUGGUCUAUUUUCUUACUUGACUAUCCUGCCUGACUUGGCAAAUAAAAGAGAACCCCACCGGAAUUGGACUUGUUUGCUACCUUGGGAAAUCUUUCUGCUUACCUACUUGCUGACCUUAGGAUAGGAAAUGCAUAUUACCUGAAAGCUAGUCGCUCGGCUGGCACGCUAUCAAAGCACUUAGGAUUGGCUGGAACAGAACCCCCGAGAAACUUUUUAACAUUUCGGAGAAUAUAGAGAGGAGGGAGAUAAAUGUAUAUUUUGUAUCGUUUCUUCGAUACCUCGCUUACGUUUAACUUCCCUUCACCAACCUCAGAGGGUACUACGAGCUUAGACUCUCUAAGAUAUCCAUCACUAAACUAAAGAAAGUAGCGAAAAUCAUAAGAGAAGCUUUGUGUUCAGAAGGUUGGGAAGGAGUACGCCCGGUUUGUCUUGAUUUGCUUCAUCCAUGAUUCCCCUUGUGGAGUGAAGUGGAAUGCUAAAGAUACAAAAGUGAACCGUAGGAUCUCGUCUUACCCCAUUGACAAAACUUGUCCAAGAAACCCUGUAUGUAUCGACUAUGUAAAUAAAGCCCUAAUGUUUCAAUUCCGCAUACACCAAGAACGACCAAUUAGCUCUAGCCAAACCUUUAACAUAAUUUUUCAUUUAUGCCCAUACAAAAAGGGACAACAGGUUUUGCCCAUUGGUUCAAAGAAGUAUUAAAAUUUCCUUGGAUGUGUAUUAUUCUUCUGGAUUUGGUCGGUUGUAUUAUAUAUCGACUUUAAAAUAUAAAAAUUGAGCAUUCUACUGUCAAUGAAGUACAUACUAAAAUUUGGAAAUGUUGAGCUCUAUUGUUUGGAAUAGGCUCGCUCCAUCCUUCCGCCCGGCUGUGCUUUUACCUUUUUUUUUGGUAGUGGUCUCCUGGUAUUUUUUUUUAAACGCCUGCCUUUUCCAAUGAUGGUGGAACCAGAUCCAACACUUUCGGGAUAUCUCCCCGUGCUGCGCUCCGCAUGUCCCACCAUCUGAGCUAACCUAACCUGUCCUUAGCACGGACAGCACUCAAUAUCUCGCAGCGGAAUAUGUCUACCGGAGUACGCUCCGCAAAGCUCCUCACUCGGCACACAAUCUAUAUCCAAGUCCCCCAUCGCACUCCACAAGUUUGGGACGACCCCUUUCUUAAUGGUGCCUUAACACAAGGCUUCCCUACUAAACCAGUACACUAAGUACGGGAUCACUACUCAUGACUCCUUGGUCUUCAUAGUCCUCGAGAACACGAUCAACAAUGUCUCCCAUACAUUGUAUGACGAAAUGCCUCCUCACUAUCCAAUCAAAAACCAGACUUCCAAGAUCCAUCUCACUCAGACCCUUUUGAAUGUAGCGGAUAACAACGGAGCGGGGCUAUCGAAUUGAUAUGUAUUCGAAUCUUAGGAGCUGGUAAUCACUGAUAUGCUCAUAUUGGUGACGUUAUUGUUGCUGUAAUCAAAGAAGCAGUGCCCAAAAUGCCUCCAGAAAGAUCAGACAGAAGUAAGACGAGCUGUAAUUGUACGUACAUGUAAAGAACUCAAACGUGACAACGGUAUGAUAAUACGAUAUGAUGACGAUUGUCAUUGAUCAAGAAGGAAAUGAAAUCCAAAAGGAACUCGAGGUGCGAUCGCUCGGGAAUUGAGACUUAUGAAUUUCACUAAAAGAGUCUCAUGAGCUCCUGAGGUAUUAAAAAUACUAGUAGUGGAGACUAUGAUAUAGUAGGGUACCAGAAUAUAGAUCAAUUAGUAGAUUGUGUCUGACGCAUAUACAUGAAAAAAGAAAAUAAUUAUAUAAUUAUAAGAAUAAGAAUUCUAAUCUUAAUAAAAGGAAGGGUUCGAAUAGCAUCUACUAAUAUUACCGAAAACUUUGUGAAAAUACUUCUACGAGAAGGUUUUAUUGAAAACGUUCGAAAACCUUAGGGAAAGUAACAAAUCUUUCUUGGCUCGUGCCCCUGCUCCUGGUCUUCGAACUAGUCAUUAAUGGUCGGCAACAUAGGUACCCUUUUUCGGUAUGUGCAUUGCGAACACUUUCAUUUUUAGCGUCUCAUCUUCUCUGGAGAAGCUCAAAUCGAACGGAUAGAGCAGAUGGUCCAACUACAGAACUUCUUCUUUUUCAUUACUUCCAUGGUCGUGCCCCGUGGCACGGCAGCACCCGUACUAUUGAAAUGGUUCGUCAGUAGAGAUGUUCCCACUGGUGCCUCUUUUUCCAAUGGUACUAUAAUUCCUAUUCCUAUCCCUUUAUUCCCUUUUUUGGUCUAUCUACAUUCAAGGAAAUUCAUACGCUCCAUGGACAGAGCAAAAAGUGGAGUGUUGGUCAAAGCAAGCCGCCCUAUUCUAUUACCAGACAAAAUUGGGAGAAGCUCAUCCGCUAGAAAUGCUUUAUUUCGUUUCGUUCCCGUUCUUCAUUUCCUUAUUAUCGAAUCCAUGGGGGACUUGUCAUAUUUAGAAUCUUUCUGCGGUCUGCUCUGUUUACAAUUCUUUUGUACUCUCUUCUCUUUACCACGCGAUAGGUCAGCGAAGCGUGAGCGGGCGCUUCGAAGUAAAGGCCAAACACUUCGGCCUAAGGGGAAUGAGCAACAAAAUGACAAGAUGAGGUGCCCCGGGCACCCCCAUAUAGAAAGAAGGGUCGAAGGUUUUGGGCCUGUAGCUUUCCCCGCCCCCCCCUCGUCGAGUGGUGCUUGUUUGGGGGGUGUGCCACCUGAAAUCGGGCUUGAAGCUCUCGCCCUACCAACGAGCCGACUGUUGAUGGCUGUUGGUCACGACUACCACAAAAAAGUGAAGAUGAAUCUUUCUAUUUCACAUGGAGGAGUGUGCAUCUUUAUGUUGGGUGUUCUUCUGUCGUGCGACCCGAUGGCUUAUGUGCGACCUGUGGCCCACGCCUCCUAUUCUAUUUGUUCAGGGCGGGCGGCGUGAACUCUGAUUCGAUCCGGGUAUUCAAUCCCGCCGCUGAGAUGCUCAGUUGACUCCUUAACCUUGAUAGGAAGAUGGCUUAUUCCUAAAUUCGUGCAUAAGGGUAAGGAACUUUGGAUGAAUUAAUGCGAAUGGGUGUAAGCCUCGCAGCUCGGAAACACCCAGUGCUGACCACACUGAGAGACACGAAAGCGCAGGUAAUGCCAGUUGGCGAAGUGGCGUUAAGCAUCCCUAGCAGUACGCAAAGAGAGGUCGUGAUGAUAUCAUCUACGUCCGUACCGCUCCUCGUGGAGUAGAUCCCGCAUCCAACCAACCCUUUUUUGACCAGGGAACGGGAGAAUUCCCACUACCGCAGGCAGGCCAGCCGGGCCGUGAGCGCGGUGGGAACGGGCUUCCCAAAAAGCGAGCCCCGGCCCGGGUCAGCAUAGAAUGGGGGGGGGGACGGCCCUAAUGUUGUGUUGGCCGGGUUGCGGGCGGAUAAAAGCGGACGUGGGGACUCGGGUCGGGGCACAGCGUAACUAAGAGAGCCAUUCCAUUUAGUGCGAGACAGAAUGGGCGGGCACAAGCGGUCUGGUGUCCGAGCCGAUUGGUCAGACGAUGACUACUGCACAUAUUAUAUUAGCCGCCUAUCCCGGAAUGGACUGGGAUGGAAUAGAAAGAACGCGAAGCAACAAGCAAGGGAUGAGCGCUUUGUUGCUAAAGCGCAUACGUUUUCUUGCUGGGUCGGUUUGUUUUUUGGGGGUGGGGCAAUAAGCUUGCUUCUUCACAAGCUUAUCCCCGCCCCCUUUCCUGUCUGUCCCGACCGGCAGCAGUUGGGUCUCCCCAUCUCUCCUCAACUUCCCCGGUCCUCGGCCUGAGCUGUAUGAGGCAGAAACUCGUCCCACGUACGGUUCGGAGGCCGAGCCCCACCCCUGCAAUAAUGGUGCGGCUUAGGUCAACUAAUACGAAUAAGAUACAGUUCACUCAACGAUUGCCUUUGGGUCCCGAACUCCAUAUGGGGAAGGAACGUUGUUGUUUGCGAGGUCUCGAUCAUUUACAUGGACCCACUUCUCAUUCCAUUUGUGGGAAUUUUUUGAUUUAUAAACCGUCCCCAACGAGCGAAAGGUUCAUGUUUGAACAUGAUGAAUCACUUCGUGCCGACCUGUUGCCCAUAAACUUUCCUGCCUCAUAUGAGAAUGGAAAACUGGAAGAUUUUCUGCAUCGGUGGAUGAAGAAUCACGAACAUAAGAAUUUCUGGUUUAGCAUGUUCCCAGAAAGAAGAUACUUUUUUUCCAUUCGAGAAACGAGGAGCACGACUGAAGUGGCUAUACAUACAAAUCCAUUUACGGAUCUAUAUGCUCCGAUUGGAACUGGAAGUUCCAGAACUAGCGGCUGGUAUACCACCAUAAUGAAAUUGCCUUUUAUUUUUAGUAUUCGGAUAGGAUUUCUGUUGGCUUCAUCGGGAGGCUCGCGUAGUUUGUUACGUCAACUCCAAAAGGAUAAGUUGCAUUGGAAUCGAGAAAGUUUCGUUCAUAAUUGCAUAAAAGGAGUAAAAAUAGUGGCUGCGGCGCGUCGAGGGUCAACCUUGAUAUCGAAUAACCUUUCGAGCCUUCCCCAAUGGAUCUCUAUCCUCCUUUGAAACCAGUAGAAGUUCACUGACCAUCCCUGUCAAACAUAACCCAAGGUAGGAUCGAGAGGAGAAGAAUAGGACUCUUGCUAGUAUCAUAACCUCUCGAUGGGAGUGAUUCCCCGAAAAGAGAUCGUUCCCAGCAUCCUCGAGUUCGUAGUCAAACUCACCUUCAUCCACCUUUCAUGGACUGGCGCGGGCAAGCGCCGAUGUCUGGAGCAGGAGAUGGAAGCUUGGGUUGAGGAGGCUGUCAACGAGUCAUCAAAGGCGAUAGAUUGGUUAUAUUCGGAUUCGUUUGCUUUUUCUUUUUUUUUGUUGUGAGAGGUCUGAGUCCACAGCUGGGGAAGAGUCGUCAGAUGACAAUUGAAGUAGGGGUCUGCCUCUUUCAAAGGGAAGCAAGAGUCUCAUAGGGAAGGAGAUCCUGCACAGACCAAUCCCAAUCUGGAAGAGAGUCUUGUUGUCAAUGAAAGCAAUGAGACUAUGUCACAUAUCUGCCUAUCUCGUGUUGUGAGCUAUAAAGUACCCACCAGGGGGUGGACCAAGAAAGAGGCAGGCGAUUGGGUCCUUCCCAUCCUCUAUGAUGUCAGUCUCUUUGUCAUUCUUUCACCCUUGCUGAGUAGUGAAGUGAGCAUACUCAAGAUCCAAUUCAUCAAUCAUUUGAGUUGGUACGAACAUAGGAAUCCAGACUCCGCUUGAUUCGAUCUUCAGUUUCGACCUUCAUCAGUCAGGAAAAAGAAGAAGGACCCACUUAUUCCACUCAGAGAGACCGAACCAGGCAACAAAAAGGCUGAAGGAAGUUCUCUUUCCAUUCCAACUAAACUAAGUGAAAAAAGGGGGAGAGCAAAACAGAAACACAGGAACAAAGAAACUAUGUCCAAACCAACGAGUCCUUUGGUCGACUCUAAAGAAUGUAUCGGGAGUUGGGAGUUAGCCGUCUCAUAGGAGUGAUAGCUGGGUUUUUCACGGAGUUUCUUCGUACGAUUGAAAAAAGAGUGCUCUAGGUCGGAGAAAACAAGAAGAAGAUUGUUCACCAGUCUGUCUCCCAACCUCUUUAAAGCAGCUACCUACCGUGAUAUGGUCUUGGGACAGCAUUGGCACCUCCGUUUGCUGGAUCUUCUAGGCACUCUAAAGCGCUUCCACGAGAGACAGAUGGACUUUGAGUUAUAGACGGAGAAGAGCCUUUAGAGGAUCAAGAGUGAUUCCUCAAUAAAACAAAUGGGAUUUUGAGGGAGGGCUGAACGUGAUGUACUGAAGGGUUCGCUUUCGCUGAUCGGCGCCAGUCUUUCCUGCUGUGAAUUUCCCAGGUCGAGAGUGGCCCUUUCCUUCUACCUUACUGAACCCAUUCACCAAUGAUUGGAUCACUCAAAGCCAAAGACCAAUUCCUUCCUUUUAGGUGGUCUAGGUGGCUGGGAUACUAUGCCCUUAUUUUUAGAGGCUCAAAGACGAGUUCUUUGAAGGAAGCAAAAGAACCCAUGUGUCUCGGAUGAAGUCUACCCUCUUUUUUUUGCCAGGAAGAAGAAUGAGAUCCAACUCAAAGUCAAGGAAAGCGGCCUAGACCACUGACUUUUGAUGGAAGGCUUCUGAACAUGGAUUGGUCUGAUAAAGCCAAUUUUUCGGCGAAGAAAAUAUUUUAUGAGAGCACUAGACCUUCUCUCUUUCAGGAUUGAUUCCCACUCACUGCCUGAUAGUAGGCUUGGCCCAUGAGACCUAUUGUCUUAUUGUCCUGGCUCACUUCACUACUUUGGAGGAUGGGUUUUUCCCCUUUUUGGUUCGCAAACGCUCUAACCCAUCGAGAAGCUCCAUCCAAAUUGGAGUUGAUGUGAGCACUUCCCCAGAGGCAGAAGCUGAGUCUACAAAAGGGUGGGAGCAUAAAAUGUAGGUGAGUCAAUUGCGUGUGGCCUUCAAGUAUUUCGUAUUGUAACAAUAUUCAAUCGGCAUCCAAACAAAGGUGCAUGUACGGUUCCUAAGGGAUACAAUUUUGUCCUAAUCAACCAACUUCAUCGAGAAAGAUUAAAUAAGUUGAUAGCGCGAUCUCGUACUAACACAUACUCUCUAAAUAUUGAAGAACUUGCAUGCGGCCUUCAAGCCACAACCGCGGUAUGAGUUCUGAUCUCAGACUUUGUUUGGGGGCUGCUUGCCCCUUCGCGUCGACAAGGAAACUGUGGACGACAAUGGGUUUAGAAUUAGAAUAGAACGAGGACCCUAUCGAACAAAUAGAGGAAAGGGCGGAAAGGGGAAAAAGUAAAGUCUAAGCGACACGACAUAUGGCACGAAAAGGAAAUCCAAUUUCGGUAAGACUUGAUCUGAAUCGUAGUUCAGAUCCAAGUCGGUUCAGUGAGGGCGACCGCGAAAGUCACCGAAUGGGUUCGGUCCGUCUUUUCCUGAUCUUUGUUUGUCCCCUCAAAAAAAGGCGUGAGAGGACGUUGCAGAUGUCCGGGACGGACACGACUUCUUCUAACGCUAGAAGACCACAGGAAGAAACCCGGGACCAGAGCAUGUCGUGAAAGACGCACACGGGGCGGGCGUGCUUCGACCGUGUCUCCGGGGCACAGUUGAAUGUAGAUAUCAUGAACGCGAGGAUAAGGAUACCAGGCCGAGAAACGCGGGCAAGUACUCCCCUAAUGUGCCGAUCGCUAGCGCAUCCAGGGCCCCGGCGCCCAGCUCCGCUUGAGAGGCCGUCACUGAUCUGAAAAGUGCGUCUGCGGUUCGGAUAGACUGAUUCUGCGAACGCCUAGCCCCAGGAAUCAAUAAAAAAACAAGUGCGAAGUUUCAUUUCAGAUCAGUGAAUAAACCGAAAAAAGAGACCUUUCUCGCUCGGCGCCGCACUAUGCUCCGCUUCAACAAAUGAGAGUUUUCGGUGGAACCGGUGAACCACGCGAGCUGGUUAGAUGCGUGGGGCAGAGGGCUCGUAGUACCUGAUAGCGCAGCUAUGCAGUGGAAGGGAAGGAGCCUAAAUCGACCCCCUUCUUUCUUUUUUAUUCAAAGACAUAAAAUCACAGUACAAAGAGAUUGGACUCUCGGAUGAGACUAAGCAGCUACCGUUCCGACGCGCCCCUGACCCUAUCUUGAUUAAAACCGAAAACCCUCUCUAAGGUGGAGCCUAGUUGAAGCUGUCAUUCAAAGAAAAAAAUGGGAAUCAAAAUCCACUUUUAGGGAUAUAGAUGAAGUCUCGCUCAGUAAAGAGAGUUGUAGAUUCGUAGAAGAGGAUCAGAAUACGUGCGCUACAAAAGGCAGCUAGCCAAUGAAAGUAAGUGGAAAGAAUAUAGUACUUUUGUACUGACCCCUCCGGGGCCCCCGGUUGUUUUGGCGCGCCCUACCCCAACGUUAGACUAUUGCCUUUUUAGCCUACGCUUGCUGCUUGCAGCAUGGAUUCGAUAGAUCUAUCGAAUCCAUGCUUCCCCCGCCCCGAAGCGAGACUCUAUCCAGAUCUCAAAGAAUAACGAGCUAGGCGGCCGGCGGGCAAAGAAAGGGGGCGGGCCGGCCGGUCGGGGCCUUGGCGAUACGUUCUUCUUUCGAAGCGUUUUGCCAAUAGAGCGAGGGCGUCCUUCUGGGGUGGGGCGUUUACUUGAAAAUGACAACCGCCUGUUCCAGCAGCGGGGGCCUUGCACGAAAGCAAACCGCCCGAUUAAGUAGCAGUUGCUUCGCUGAUGGGCCCAGUGAGGGGGGCAUUGUCCCUCAGUUCUUACCAACCUCAGGUGUGUAAUCGACAUCUAACUUAUUAUCUUCUAUUUUUCAUGCAAGCCUGACCUCAGCUGUCCAUUUCUUAUUCAUUCAGGGCGCCCCUAGUGGACUUGGCGGUGCUCCUUUCUCAAACCAGAAACAACUCAGAACGUUAGGGAAAAUAAGGGAAGACCACCUGAGCGAACCGACCGAAGGGACUUUAUUACUUAUCCGAACCGAACGUUAGCGGCUUAAGCUAAGCCUAUCACGAGCAGCGUUGCUGCUUGAUCGGCGGGGAGGAAGAUCUCAAAGUAUGGGGCAAAGGAUCAAGCGCUUUUACUUUGCUUUGUCCCCCGGGAUCCACCACAGGUUGGGUUUGAGAGCCGUGUGAUGGGUGACUAUCUAGCACGGUUCAGAGAGCACGUGUAUGUAGUCUGCGCUGGUGAAUGGAAGCCCCCGCCGCAAAAAAAGAAGCGGCUUUUCCCACGGCUCUGUCACCAUUGACUCUAUUUAUUAUUAUGGUAAAUCAUUGUAUCAAGAUGUCAAUCUUAGAUCUUAUUUCAGUUCGAUACGUCCACCUACGAGACUCACCUUUGGCUUUCGUCUCGGUAGGUGUAUUAUUCUACAUUUUCCCAAAAGGACAUUCAUUCAUUUCUUUCUUCCCCGUUGACCACUACGACUAAAACGACGCGACAAAUCAAGACCCGGAAAGGAUAAGGGACGGUGGUGGGCAUUUGGGAAAGUCGGGCCGAUCGGGUGUCUUCAUUCAAGCGAGGGUACAGAGGAAGAACGAAACGAAGUGAGAGGCCGGGGGGCAGGGAAAAGAGUCGAGUCGAUCGACCGGGAGAAGCAAAACGAAAUCCGGAUUUGGCCGAAAAAGAUGCAACGUUAUGGAUACCAUGACCGAUCACCAUCGAGAAAGAAGAAUUUUUCUAAAUCACUUCGGGUGAGCGGGGCCUUCAAGCAUCCGAAAUACGCCGGGGUUGUAAAUGACAUAGCCUUCCUGAUAGAAAAUGACGACUCCUUCAGAAAAACUAAGUUAUUCAAGUUCUUUUUACCAAAGAAGUCCCGCUCUGACGGCCCGACGAGUCAUCUACUAAAAGGACCCUCCCCGCUGUGCGCCCCUCCUUGAAUUAUUCGGUCAUGCAAUACUUUUUUAAUACAAAGAACAAAAUGCAUUUCGACCCCGUCGUAGUUCUCAAUCAUUUCGUGGCACCGGGUGUGGCUGAACCAUCUACGAUGGGGGGAGCGAAGGGAGGAAGCUUAGAUAAGAGAAUACGCUCUCGCAUCGCUUUUUUUGUAGAAAGCUCGACCAGCGAGAAAAAGUGUUUGGCCCGAGCCAAAAAGAGGUUGAUCCACUUCAUUCGCCAAGCGAAUGAUCUUCGCUUCGCGGGGGAACAACAAAAACCACCAUCUCGCUCUUUCCUUUCUUCGGUGCUACCUUUUUUUUUCCAAGGGAUGGGGUUGGGGUGUAUAAUAACCCAUUUUUUGAGUAUGCCCGGGAACAACUCCUAGGUCAAUUAAGGAUCAAAUGUAGGAACCUCAUGGGUAAGGAUAAGGUAAUGGAAUUGAUAGAGAAAUUCAUAGACCUAGGUAGGAUAGGCAGAAUUGAUAAAGGGAAUAGAGAUGAUGAUAGAGAUCAUACUGAGAAAGAGGAUAAUUCCGUACGGGUACAACUCUUAUUUGAACGAAGUGCAAAAAAUGCGAUCUUUUUUGUCUAAUAGAACAAACACUAAUACCUUAAUUGAGUCGGUAAAGAUCAAAUCAGUUUAUCAAAGUGCUUCUCUGAUUGCUCAAGACAUCUCUUUUCAAACUGAGGAACAAUCCAAUCUCAUUUCGUUCCAUUUUAGUCAAAUAGUGAAGGAUAUUCCUUUAAUAAUGCCAAAAGGGGUGGAGGGGAUACGUAUUUGUUGUUCUGGGUCGAUUAGGGGGUGCGGAAAUAGCUCGAACUGAAUGCGGAAAGUAUGGAAAAACAUCUUGUAAUGUAUUUAACCAGAAAAUCGAUUAUGCUCCUGCGGAAGUAUCUACUCGUAACGGAAUUUCAGGUGUCAAAGUGCGGAUCUCAUAUAGUCAAAAUAAGAGGGGACGUGCUAUAUCCGAAACGUACGAAAUAUAGUAAUAUUAGUAAUGCCAGAUGUAGUAGGGUCGCGACCGGAUGGUACAGCAACUUGGUUUUGGAAGAUAUGGCACCAAAAGUAGUAGAGCUGGUCGUCUUUCAUAUCGAGCCAUUGAAGCAGCGCGUGGUCUACCAAUAGGACAAUCCAUCGUGCUAUUGAGCGGGGGAACAAUUCCGAAGAACCCAAAAAAAAAACAAAGAAA
rnacentral:lncRNA from 1 species